CUGGCAGGAUUCCACUACAAUAGCUCCUUUGACCCCAUCCAUGCUACCUUUUGAUAGGUGAACAAGCAAGAGGAAGAGGGUUAAUUCUGAUGAAGUAUCUAUCCCAUUGGCUUUAUGAUCUGUGUGUGGUGGUGACUUCUACAAAAAAUCCUUUAAUUUCCAGUUCUGGAAAAUAAGCGCUAUGAUUUUUAUGAAAAAAGUAGGCUCAGAGAGUGACCCACCCAAAGAUACCCAAAUAGCAUGUCCCCAGGCGGCGAUUCGAAGCCAGAAUCUUCUGACUCUAUACCAAGCUCUUUCCAUGCUGCGGUGCAAUGAGGGUAGAUGCAGACAAAGAUAUCUUAACAGAGAAUAACAAACCCCUGGGCAUCUGGGAGGUGAAAAGGGGGCAGUUAGUCUAAGUGAUGAAGAUGAUAAAGAAGAUUUCAGAUAAGCAAGGGUUGUAAAGGCAACAGAGCUGCUGAAAUAUAACCACCGAUGGUUUGUGUGCCUAAGUUCUUACAGGUGGGUGUCAAGUCCUUCUGCAUCCAGCAGAGGAGGAGAGAUGCAGGGAGGUGGCACAGGAGAGGCUCAGGAAUUGAUGCCAUGAAGUCUUCCCUCCUCUCCCCAUCUGGGCUUGGAGGUAGGCACGUGAAGAGAGGUACCUGGUUCUACUUUCUUCUGCUCACGUUUUUGCUGUUUCCGAGGAAGGCACUUUUCCUGCCACCCUUGUGAAUAUUCCCAAAGCUGCUCAAAGGCAGGGGCUAAACAUGCUGUUUAUUCUAAGUGGAGGGUUGGUCUGAGCUACAUGAUCAUGCAUGAUGCCCCUUUGGGUUAUUUAAACCUCACACCCUUCAAUGUUGAGCUCUUGGCUUUUCCUUCGAGUUGUAUGCAUGCUUUGGGCUCCAUUAUUUAGAACACUGGUUAGCAACAAGAAACGUUUCCAGACAGCUAUUAUAAGGGAGGCAUUUAUUCAAAGGAUAUAUGAGGUGACUCAUAAGGAAGAGUCUGUGAAUGGGCUUGGAAAGGGUAGGCUAUACGGGAGCUGGGAACACAGGCUGCCGGGAAAACAUCUGAUUGGUUUACUUUAUUAUCCAAGUGAGAGACAGUCCCAAACUCCACAGAGUGGGACAGAGGCGAUGCCCUGAGUAUACAUGGGGGCCCUUUAAAGCAGAAGACCAGGUCAGAGGUGGCAUCCGAAAAGGGAUGCAGAAGGAGUGAGAGGAUGGCAGAGGAAACACCACUGCAAAAAAGUUCCGGGGUAUCCAAGGAUCAGGGAGCCAGGGGCCAGGGUAACUAGAAAGAAGUGUGAGACUGGGAGAGCAGGAGGAAAUUAGGGCAGAAAAGCAGCCAGGGCUGGAUAAUGUAGAGCUUCGAGGCCACUGUAAGAAUUCUGGAUUUUAUCUUGUAAUGAGAUGGGAACCCAUGGAUGGUUUUGAGGGGAAAGACAUGGCCAGCCUUAUACAUUUGGAAGAUUGCGAUGCUUGAUGUGUGGAGAAGAGACUCUAGGGGGUAAGUGUUGAAGGAAGACCAAUUAGGAGGCUACUUGAAAUCAUUACAGUGAGAGGCGAUGAUCUGGACCAAGGCAAGUGGGAUGGGGACAUGAUGACAGCCUGAUGACAAGAGCAUGGGCCUGUAAACUGAACUGAAGGCGUGAGAGAAAGACAAGAAACAAGGAUGACCCCAAGGUUGCUGUGCUGUGUAAAAGGAAGAACAGAGCCAAGGCUUUCUGUGAAGAGGAAGACUCAUCAAGAAGCAAGGUCUGGGGAGUUGAAAAACAAGAAAAGACUUUGCUUUUGGACUCGUUCACUUGGAGAUGCUUCUUAGACAGCCAAGUGGGACUGUUGAAAAGGCAGCUGGAAUUACAAGUUGAGAGUUAAUAAGUCUGGAUUGAGAGCUGUCCACUGAAGAUCAGGAGACAAGAGGUGUUGAUAGCCUUGAAAGUGGCUGAGCUCAGAAAAGGAGUGGGUGAAAAUAGAGAAAAUGCCUGAGACCCGUGUCCUGGGUUCUCCCUGAGCCCCGAAUGAGAGAGCUUCCACAAAAGGAAUCUGCUGAUCCUUUAACACGUGGCACCAGCACAGAAUGGUCAUGUUUCAGUCACUUACUAGAGUCAGAAGAGUGAGUCUAAGGUGACGUCAACUUUCUGGCCCAUUGUCUUUUCUCAACCCCAUGCCCAUCACAAACAGUUCAAGCCUAGGGAUACAGUAGAGACUGGGAUGGGUUGGUGGGAGAGAGGCUGGGUACUCAAGCUUCCGGGAGGGCAGUCUGCUCCCUGACAUACUUAGAUAGUGUAGCCAAGCAGGACCCUGGGAAGUCUUCCCAGAGUGGCCCCCCACUCAUGUCCUCCACCUGCAUUUUUAUCUCUAGAAAAACUUUAGUCAAAGAAUCCAUUUAAUCAGACAAGUGAGAAAAUACAGAGAAAAAGGAAAACUGUCAAGCAAGACAGAAUGAUAAGAGUUUAGCCAUUCAACGAAGUCAAGGACCUUUAGUUCCUUCUUCUUCAAGGACUAUAGAUAAUAGUCUGAGCUAUGUCCUUGGAGUUGCUUUGCAGGUACUGAAGGGUCCCCCCUCUCCCCCAGCCACCCCACUGCACCAGGUAGAAAAAGUCAACUGCAUGCUGUCCACAAGCACAUAGACCCCAGACCAGUUGGAACCAGAAGGGUGAAGAUGCUGACUCCCAGUGACCUCACUACUCACCAGUCAGGAAAAUGUCCAUGAGCUGAACACACCCUGCUCCUCAAACACUGUAAGACUUCUCACUAACCCCUCCAGCGGGGGGCAUGGUCCUUGAGGCACUAGCUUGCUGGGUUCUCCUCUUUGGCAAUUACAGCUACUUUUUCUAUUUCCUCCAACUCUGUCUCCAAGUUCUAUUUGGCAUAGGUGUACAGAGGCAGCUGAGAUUUUGGCAGCCAGAGGAUGACUGGUAGUAGUAACAGAGGAAGGGAUGCCUUCCAACAAGAUAAUGCCAAGGUCUUAGAUGAUGCCUUAACUGAAGCCUGUUUGUCUAAACCAACUUCUCUUAAUGAGCAACCCACCUAGUGGUCAGGCAUGAAACUCCCACUUCCUCUGAGGAGUUCUACAUCUAGUCAAAUAUAUAUAUAUAAAUAUUUAAAGUACAUUUAGGGCAUUUUAAAGAUCUAAACAAAUAUGUUUAAAAGCAUUCCAGUUGAGCUUUGUAUUUGCAGUGUGUAUGUGUGUGUAUAUAUUUAUCAAAUUUGCACGUUUUAUGAAAGAUGGGCUUUCUCUGUAUUGGUGUGGGCGUUGUCUUAUAUUUUAUCUACUUUCAACCCCUUUAAGUAGUUUUUAAUACCACUGUUAGAAACCCAUGUUUGAAACUUUGGUUUCAGGGAUAAAAAGAAUAGGAUAUGCAAAUGGACGUGAAACAUUCAAGGGUAUUGCAUUUUAGAAGAUGUGGUCGUUAAGUGAAUUUAUUGCUUGGCAAAAUAGCGUCAGGCUAAUUAAGCUGAGAAGGUUUGGAUUAACCGUGUACCCAAAGACGCAUCCAUGGAGAUCAAAUAAAGUGGCCAGACAGAUUCAUUUGAAGGAAUAAAGUCAAUGCACUUGUAGAGAAAAAUCCUUGGGGAAGCAGGAGGUGGGCUGGAUAGAAAAGUACUUCCCAGCCAGGAUGGUCAGGGUAAUGCUGUCUGUCCUAGGAGGGCAGUAGAGGCCCGGGGGCGGGGGUGUCCCCCUCCCCUUCACAGCUUUCAUGGCUAUUCUGAGAGCUCCAGAGCAAGAUCUUUUCCUUCCUUAGGAGUUGUGAUUCCAUGAGAAGAAAACUGAGUGGGCAUCACACGGCUCCAAGUUCAGAUCUGGACCCUCCAACUUAUAAACGGUAACAAUGACGGUUCUCUUGCCAUUUACUUUAUGUCUUAGGCUUCAUUUUCCUCCCUGAUGAUGGUGAUGAUAAUGUCUUCUUUACCCCACGUGGUGAUGACUCAGUAAGGCCGUUAUAUAAACAUCCCCAACUCUGAGUAGCAGAGUUAAGGUUGGUAACUCCUCAAAGUCCUUCUCCAGGACAGAUAACCAGAUUGCAUUUCCCAGCCUCCCUUCUAGUUGAAUAUGGUCAUGUGAUUGAGUUCUGGCCAACAGAACAUGAGCUCAAAUGAUGAGUUCACUCCCAGAUCUGCCCCAUAAAAAUUUUCCACUCAUGAUUCCCAGCUUCUUUCUUCUUCCACCUGCUGGAUGUUGACAUCCAGACAGGUCUUAGAAGCUAUGUGUUUACAAUGUCAGAGCCUAUAUCAGCCUGGAUUCCUGAGUCACUGUGUGGAGGAAUCCUUUUCUCCUCGUGCCCAAUGAUCUGCAAGCCCUUGGCGAUUUAUGUGAGUAAAAAGAUAAACUCCUACUGUAUUAGCCUGCCCAAACUGAAAUAGACAGAAACUGACACACUGAGUAAAUGAGAAAAAACCCAGAGAGAGUAAAUCACCAAACAUUAUACAACAGAGACAGCAGCUGGACAUGAAGUAUUGUUGGAUGGAGGUGGGAUGUAUUUGUUUUAUAUGUACCAGAUCUUGAAUGGGAUAAUGAGCCUCAUGCCGCCCAAGGGACAGCUGUUUCAAGGAAUGGUAUUUUACUUGGCAUGAUUUGUUACCAUGUGAGGAAAUGGCUAGGAAGAAAAUGGUAACAGCAGAAGAGAAAGAAAGAAAAACAAAUGGUGGUGGGACUGAUGAGAAACCCUGAGGCUUUUCCUUGUAGCAACAUGGAGAAUUCAAAGAACCACCUUUGGUGAGUCUGUAGGAUUCACGACAAAUGCCCCAGCAGGUAGGUAAUAUCAGAACUCAGGACCCUGGGCGAUGGUGAUGCCAAGUCCCUUGGAGGCCUUCUUGAUAAGAAAAAUCCUUGCUAGACUGAGCCAAGAGACCUUACAAACACUGGAUGUUAGCCUGACUUUAGGCUUUUAAUUGCCAUAGGCUACUUAUGGAAUGGUUACAUUGACCUGAAUCGAACCACUAUCUAUAAAUUAAGAGUGCUUGUAGGUGGGAUAUGCUUUUGUAUCACACAACUUUUUUCUCAUGUCCUUGGAAGAAGGGAAAUGAU
rnacentral:lncRNA from 1 species